rnacentral:sRNA from 1 species
GGAUGUGGUAUAUUUUCAGUUUCCAGUACUCAUAGUCUCAGAACAUGUACCUUUUAUGUAAGGGGCUUUAUUGGGUUUAACAUGGUAAUAUAUUUCUCGUUUCUUAUAAAAACAAUAUGAACUGGUUAUGGUAGGGUCCACUUGUAAACUCAGGUGGACUCUUAAAAGACUGAGGCGGGAACAUCGUAAGUUCAAGACCAGCCUAAGUGAUUUAGUAGGACUCUAUCUCAAGAUAGAAGUUGAAAGAUACCUAGAGAUAUGAUCUCAUGGGAGAGCACUUACCUAUGCAUGUAAGAAACCCCGAGUUCAAUCAGUAGUACCCUCUCAGUCACAUAAAUGGUGGAACUUGAUUCUUUCUUUCAAGCAUGGACACCCAAGGUUCAUACAGGACAGCUUUUCCACUGAGCAGCAUCCACAGAGCUGAGUAAACUCUUCACUCUGUUCCCCAUGAUAAAGGUGCACAUGCAAAGUAGGGUGGAUUUUACGGGCUAUUGUAGAAAGUUCCAAUUCAUUUUUGUUUACUGGGAUAGACAUCGAUGUGGUUUACAAUUCCACAAACUCCCUUUCACCCCUUUCCAUAGACAACUGCCUCUCCUUCCCAAUGACAAUCAUCUUUAUAAUUUUAUUUUGUUGUUCCACGGACGGUACAUUAAGAGGCUUCUAAAAUUAGCUUCUAUCUCACAACAGGUCGUGAAGAUCAACCUUUUUGCACCAGGGAAUAUCAUUGGCCUCUCUUUAGCAAGGAGAAAGAAGCUGAUCUCGGGUUGAUGUAACUGUGCAUCACAAGGACUUAGAAAAGCAGGAAGAGACAACUUUGCUUUUCUAGGACUAAUCUAAUGGUCACCACAAUUCACAAAUGCAUGCGCUCAAGAGGAAAGGCUGGAUUUGUUUUUUCUACUCAACCACAAUGAAACAUAAUGAGAAAGAGGGUGACUCAAGAUGAACUUGCUGGAAGAGUCUGUGCUCUGAGGGUCUCAGACUCAGAUGUGGUUCCAAGGACGAGUCUAUCUAUGUCGUUUGGAGAAGAAGCUGAAAGAACUCUUAUUCUCCCAGUCUCAAAAGGACCCUGCAGGAAGGCAGAGCCACUUAGAAGCCAGGAAAAGGACUCUACUGGGAAACUGAACUAGCAGACACCUUGAUCUUGGGCUUGCUAGCCUCACAACUGUGAAAAAUACAAACCUGUUGUUUAACCUACUGGGUUUAUGGUAUUUUGUUAUGGCAGCCUGGUUCACUUAAUACUUCAAUACUGCUCAGCCACUGAGAUUAUAGUUUAUCACAUCAGCGUGUUACUUCGUGUGGCUGUUUGCUCUGAUUGGGGAAUGUCUCCAUUGUGAUCUAGACAGCCAAUCAAAGCCAAAGCUCUUGUUCAGUGGAGGCCGUUUAUCAUCCACCAUUUCUAAGUUCAUAAGUGACACAAAGAUCCUUAGAAGAUUUCAUUCUCCAUAUUACAUUUCCAUGAUAAUUAUUCAAGGUAUUGAAU